ensembl:lncRNA
UGGGUUAGAAUGAGGGUUAGAUUGAGGGUUAGGGUUAGAAUGAGGGUUAGGUUCAGGGUUAUGGGUUAGAAUGAGGGUUAGGUUCAGGGUUAUGGGUUAGAAUGAGGAUUAGGUUCACGGUGCAGGGUUAGAAUGAGGGUUAGGUUCGGCGUUAUGGGUUAGAUUGAGGGUUAUGGGAUAGAAUUAGGGUUAGGUUCAGGGUUAUGGGUUAGAUUGAGGGUUAGAUUGAUGGUUAGAAUUAGAAUGAGGGUUAGAUUGAGGGUUAGGGUUAGAUUGAGGGUUAUGGGUUAGAAUGAGGGUUAGAU